AACAUUGGGGGCAUGUGCACGCUCUGUUCACACAUCCACUCACACCUGUGCACCCUCUGUAGUUCUAUGGUCUGGCGGACACCUGUCUUCCUCCUGUAGUUCUACGUUUUUACACACACACCGUAGCAAAGUCUUAUGGAAUGUGCGCCGCGUAUAACGCAAUACAAUACAACUUUCAGCAACGGAUCUCUUGGCUCUCGCAUCGAUGAAGAACGCAGCGAAAUGCGAUAAGUAAUGUGAAUUGCAGAAUUCAGUGAAUCAUCGAAUCUUUGAACGCACCUUGCGCCCCUUGGCUAUUCCGAGGGGCAUGCCUGUUUGAGUAUCAUGAACAUCUCAACUCUCACGAUUUGCCGUGAUGAGCUUGGACUUUUGGGGGUUUUGCUGGCCCUAUGGUCAGCUCCUCUGAAACAGAUCAGCUUGCCAGUGUUUGGUGGCGUCACAGGUGUGAUAACUAUCUACGCUUGCGAUUGUCUGCCAAGUAACCUUCGGUGACGGAGGUUCGCUGGGAGCUUAUAAACGUCUCUCCUCAGCGAAGACAGCUUUUUUGACCGUUUCGAUCUCAAAUCAAGGUAGGGACUACCCCGCUGAACUUAAGC
rnacentral:rRNA from 1 species